GGAAAUGGUUUGCUGGGUACCACGCUGGGCUCACAUCUUAAUUGUUAUUAUAUUGGGUGAACACAGCUGGUGGUAUCUCAGUUAACCUUUCUCA
rfam:Tetranychus urticae London genomic scaffold, scaffold_2